GUCACCAAGAGAGAGAAGGAAAUAAAGAAGAGGAGAGAAGAGAAAUAAAAGAAAAGAAAAAGAUAAAAAGAAAAAGAUAAAAAGAAAAUAAAUAAAUUUAGAGAAUUGUUUAGAGAAGCAAAACGUAUUAAAUUACGAGAUUUUGGGAAUAUCAGUACGGAAUCAAGACGAAGGUUUGGAGUGGUUAAGAAGGGUUUGGUCAACUUCCGGAAUCAGAAAGUCAAGCCACAUCGGUUAAUCACUUUGAGUCACGAUUAAUUGUUUGUUAACAAAUUUUUAGUGCAGGUUCUUGACAUCGAAAACGGCUUCCGAGCUAGGAUAGCCGGACCGGUGUAGGUGUCAGUUUGUGGAUCUCAGGCUUGAGACGAUGUCUGGGCUAAGUGGAUAGCAAGACUAGUCUAAGCACCCGGAUUAUUGUGAUUGUGUGAUUAUUAUAUGUUGUUAUAGUGUGUACCUCGUGUUGGUACUGUUGUGUGAGAACCUCGUGGUGGUUCUAGUAGUAGUUUCCAGGUCAUUGCUUCCUCAAAUAGGACCACUAAGACGGUCGUGGUCCGGAAAGUGGAGGGCUCGGUUUAACUUGGCUUGAUCACCAAGGCCGAGUGUCACACGUGGAUGUUACAGCCCCCGGUGAGUCCGAUAGAGGACCGGGGCACGGCGAUUCCGAUUGAGGACCGUGACCGGGCAAUUUCCGAACGCCUACGCCUGUGUGUUGUAAUAAU
rnacentral:lncRNA from 1 species